rnacentral:rRNA from 1 species
GCAGGUACAGAGGGGUGCUACCGGGUGACCGGAUGCCGAUCUCGAAAACCUGUCCCAGUUCGGACUGGAGUCUGCAACCCGACUCCACGAAGUUGGAUUCGCUAGUAAUCGCGCAUCAGCCAUGGCGCGGUGAAUACGUUCCCGGGCCUUGUACACACCGCCCGUCAAGCCAUGGGAGCCGGGGCGCCUGAAGUCCGGGACCGCGAGGACCGGCCUAGGGCGAAACUGGUGACUGGGCUAAGUCGUAACAAGGUAUC